rnacentral:rRNA from 1 species
GUCUACGGCCAUUCUACCCUGAAUGAACCCAAUCCAGUCUGAUCUUGGAAGCUAAGCAGGGUCGGGCAUGGUUAGUACUUGAAUGAGAGACUACCUAGGAAGACCAGGUACUGUAGGCG